AUUUAUAAAGAUAAAGCGUUUUCAUUUAAUUUCUACUAAAACUAAUCAUUAGGAAGGGGAUUGAAAAAUGGGAACAAUCGUUUGUCAACAAUGCAAUGUCACAAUGGAUCAUUAUGAGGAUGAAAAAGUGAACGUGCUUUACUCAAAUUGCGGCUGCGGGUCAGAGGAUCAUACGGAAGAAUAAUUAUAAGAAGAGCCGGCUUCUCGAAUGCCGGCUCUUUU
rnacentral:sRNA from 1 species